rnacentral:rRNA from 1 species
CUACGGGGCGCUGCAGUGGGGAAUAUUGCACAAUGGGCGCAAGCCUGAUGCAGCCAUGCCGCGUGUAUGAAGAAGACCUUCGGGUUGUAAAGUACUUUCAGCGGGGAGGAAGGGAGUAAAGUUAAUACCUUUGCUCAUUGACGUUACCCGCAGAAGAAGCACCGGCGAACUCCGUGCCAGCAGCCGCGGUAAUACGGAGGGUGCAAGCGUUAAUCGGAAUUACUGGGCGUAAAGCGCACGCAGGCGGUUUGUUAAGUCAGAUGUGAAAUCCCCGGGCUCAACCUGGGAACUGCAUCUGAUACUGGCAAGCUUGAGUCUCGUAGAGGGGGGUAGAAUUCCAGGUGUAGCGGUGAAAUGCGUAGAGAUCUGGAGGAAUACCGGUGGCGAAGGCGGCCCCCUGGACGAAGACUGACGCUCAGGUGCGAAAGCGUGGGGAGCAAACAGGAUUAGAUACCCCUGUAGUC